AUUUUAUGAGGCAGAAGCUAUUACUCCCAAUUUUUUUUUUUUUUUUUUGGUUCCCAAGUUUUAUUCAAGAACUCAUACAAAAUAUUCUGGAUAAAUGAAAUGUAAUCCUCAUCUUCCUCCUCUUCUUCGUCCUGGUUAAUCUGGAAGUAACGUAAUUCAUAACUCUCUUUGCUGUUAGCAACCACGCGCAACCAGUCACGUAGAUUAUUCUUCUUCAAAUGUUUUUUGGUGAGAUAUUUCAAAUGCCUUUUGGAGAAAGCACCUCAGAUGUCACAGUGAUCUUGUUCUUGCUCCUUUCGAUGGUCACCACCCCUCCACCAAGGUUCCCAGCUUUUCCAUGAUUCCAUCUUCUACAGGGUGGGUGCAAUCAAGAGUGAACUUCAGAACCUGCUUCUUUUUUUUGCCCCCUUCGCCACAAGCUUUUUCACAGGAGCCAUGGCCGCAGCCGAGUUAGAAAGUAUUACUCCCAUUUUUAAAUGAGGAGACUGACUGAAGCAGAUGAGCUAGCUUCUCACCAAACUUAUUAGCUACUUGGGUAUACAGCUAAGCUAUAUUUUCCACCACUUGCACCUGGAUGGAGCUACGUAGCCAGUUCUCAUCAAGGGACUGUGAAUGGAAGUGAUAAGUGUUACCUCCAGACCAAGAUAGCGAAAAACACUGGUUCCAUCUUCACCUUCUCUCUCUGUAUUCACCAGCUAGAUGCCAGAAAACCUAAGGUCAUGGAUUGAAAGUGGUGGUCAUAGGGAGUUGUGGGGGUGGGGUCUCUGAAUGACUGACCACAGGUGCUGAGCCACCUUGCUGACCUAAACUGGAUUCAAAGCAAGAAAUAAGAUUUUAUUGUGUUAAAACACAUGCACGCACACAAAAUUGCUAUGUACUGUCUCCUCCAUAAAAUCAGUAAUACUGGUAUAAUCUCUUUUCUGUAGGAUAUAUUAAAAUGUGUACCUGCCUCCCCUAUAUACAGUAUGACAUUUUGAGGCUUUAUGAUUUGGAAACUUAGAUAAUUUAAUACAUAAGUGUGAGAAUGCAAGUAAAAGAUAAAAAACCAAGAUCUUUAGUAAGGAAGUGGGAAUGAUUUCUGAUUGGUUAAAGAUGAAAUGAUGCCCAUGGAUAAUUGAUCAUGUGUGGUACUCAUCUUCCUCUAUAAGAUCACCAUCUAAAAAAACAGCUUUUCUUCACACAUGCUCUCUUUAAAUACCUGACACUAUGAUCCUCAUUACUACAUUUUUCUUUCUCUAACAUUCUCUCCAAUAUUCUAAACUUACACAUGUCAUGUCAUCCCAUUCUGUACCUAUAGAAAUGUGUGUCCUGUAGGAAUACCUCUAUAAUUGCAUGUCC
rnacentral:lncRNA from 1 species